rnacentral:rRNA from 1 species
CGUACACUCCUGCGGGAGGCAGCAGUGGGGAAUUUUGGACAAUGGGCGAAAGCCUGAUCCAGCCAUGCCGCGUGCAGGAUGAAGGCCUUCGGGUUGUAAACUGCUUUUGUACGGAACGAAACGGCCUUUUCUAAUAAAGAGGGCUAAUGACGGUACCGUAAGAAUAAGCACCGGCUAACUACGUGCCAGCAGCCGAGGUAAUACGUAGGGUGCAAGCGUUAAUCGGAAUUACUGGGCGUAAAGCGUGCGCAGGCGGUUAUGUAAGACAGUUGCGAAAUCCCCGGGCUCAACCUGGGAACUGCAUCUGUGACUGCAUAGCUAGAGUACGGUAGAGGGGGAUGGAAUUCCGCGUGUAGCAGUGAAAUGCGUAGAUAUGCAGAGGAACACCGAUGGCGAAGGCAAUCCCCUGGACCUGUACUGACGCUCAUGCACGAAAGCGUGGGGAGCAAACAGGAUUAGAAUCCCCUGUAGUCCCAUG